GGAGGAGGGUAAAGGAAUCCACGUCCCAAGCAGAGAAGCAGCUUUCCCUACACAGCACAGGACACGGUCCGCGCACAGAAGCCGCAGGAGACGCAGGCACAGGGGCUGGGGAGAAUCCUUGCUGGGCCCUCGCCGUCCAUGCGCCGCCUCCCUCUGCCCGGUGUCUGGUGUCAGCCUCCUGCCUGGCAGAGGAACUCCAGCCCCUGCUCCCCGAAGCUCCUCCAGGCCUUCUGCUUCCCUGACUCGGAAUGGGCCCGCUGUCCAGUGGGUACAAGGCUGGUCUCCCCGCCCACUGGUGACGACGUAAAGAUCCAGCUCAGCCUGGUUUCCCCUGGUGAUGAUAUCUUGCGACUCGUCUUUCUCCAGGAAAACAGGGACCGCUCUCCGCCUACAGGUCUCUUCCACAGACCUAUCUUGUUUUCACCCCCUGUCUCUUUUGGUUCAGUCUUUUCGCUCAUACAAACAAGGAAGUCGCCCCUAGCCCAGCCGCGGCUCCUUAGCUGGAGGCGGGCCCGGGGGUGGAGUCAACCGCGGUGGCCACGCCUCCUGGGAAAGGGCAGGGCAUGCAAAUUCGAAAUGAAAGCCCGGAAACCCCGGAACUAGAACUGGUAUCUCUUCAACUACCUGUGAAAACUGAUGUGAUGAAAAGGGGAAUUUGAAGGAGCCAUUCCAGAAGACAGGGCGAAAACUGAAGUGCAAUCAGGGCCAAGAAAAACAGAAAUAGCAGGACCUGGAGUUGCAUAGGUUGAAUAGUUGAAUAGGCUGCUCUCCUCAGCUGGCAGGAAACCUGGCAGCCUCCUGGUGCCCAAGGACUGAAAACCUUAGAAGCACCUGGAGUUGGCAGCCUUGGCAUGGUCAGGUUGGCACCUCUGGAGGUGCCCAGGCUUCCCUGGCAGCAUUGUGAGCAGUGGAUGGUGUUGAAGGGCAGCCAGAGGAGGAAUGGAACACAUGCUCCUUGCUAACCACACGGACAAGGCCACGUUCACAGGUACACAAAGGCAACGCAGUUGCUCAGGUGCUUCGGUAUCACAGCCAAGACCCCUUCGGGGGAAGCUAGUCGGAUACUGGGACCCACAUUCCAGACUACUGAGCCGCGGUCGCGCCCUCGGCUCCGUUUCUGCUCCCUCCACCCCACGAGGACGGGGGUGGAAGGCCACCUUCGAUGGGUGCAUCCUCCACGAUGACCUGCUAACAAAGGUGCAUGGAUUUCAGAGUCUGAUUGGCCUACAACAGCAUUUGGCUUGUGGAGACAGUGGUUCCCUGAUGAAAAACUGCCAUGAUGUAAGGAAGAGCCUGUCAGAGCGAGGCUGGGGUGCUGCGUGUUGGGGAGGUGGAGGUGUGGCUUCCCGGGAGAAGCUCCACCCGCUGGCUGAGUCUGGCACAUAAACCAGUCUGUGAGGGGAUGGAUGUGGGUGUAAUGGGGGCAAUUACAGUAGGAAGGAGCCCACGUGGAGCCUGCAUUCUCUGGGACAGGGCAUUACUGCAUUCUCUGGGACAGGCUAAGGCCCAGAUCCUACCUUCCCAGGUGGCUGGAUGGGUCAUAGAUGUAUGAACCGGUCCCCUCAUUUUCUGAUUGCCCUGUGCUUAACGUUUCUGUACCUUUACUGAGGCUCUUUCCUCCAACUCCAGUGCCCAGACCCCCCUUCUCCUGAACAUGAAUGCCUGUCCAUGGAAAUUCGAGUCUCUCUCUCUCACCCAGGCUGGAGUGCAGUGAUGCAAUCUCAACUCACUGCAACCUCUGCCUCCCAGGUUCAAGUGAUUCUUGUGCCUCAGCCUCUGGAGUAUCUAGGAUCACAGGUGCGUGCCACCAUGUCUGGCUAAUGUUUUGUAUUUAUAGUAGAGAUGGGUUUCGACAUAUUGGCCAGGCUGGUCUUGAUCUCCUGGCCUCAAAGUGAUCUACCCACCUGGGCCUCCCAAAUUGCUGGGAUUACAGUUGUGAGCCACCACACCCAGCCUGUCCCUGAAAUUCUAAUGAAAUGUGCGAUAAAGUUGUUUUGUUUUUCUUUUUGUUUUCCCUUCUUGGCAAAGCCUGGUGUUUCUAUUUUAGUGGAUUUGCCUGGCACUGAGGACUGCUAUGGUGGUCUUCAGAGGCUCCUGGUAUUGACUGCUUGUGAAACCGCUUUUGCAAAAUUAUGACUGAGACAGUGAAAGAGAUCUAACUUAACCGACCCAAUCUUGCUUCUAACCUCCAAAUUGUCCUUAUUCAUUCCUGAGCAUAGCCUGAACUAACUUUGGGAGAAGCUUAGUUUAUAUUUUAUUUUAUAGUUUAAAACAAAGAUGUUAACAGCCCUUUCCCAAGGCAGACUUCCUUCUUGCCUGGGGACUAGGUUGCCUUUGGAGGACUAACAUUAGCCACGAGAUUAGAAAUUAUGGGCUGGGCCUCGUGGCUCACCCCUGUAAUCCCAGCACUUUGGGAGGCCACGGCAGGUAGAUCACCUGAGGUCAGGAGUUCAAGACCAGCCUGGCCAACGUGGUGAAACCCCAUCUCUACUAAAGAAUACAAAAAUUAGCCGGUUAUGGUGGCACAUGCCUAUACUGCCAGCUACUUGGGAAGCUGAGGUGGGAGGAUCGCUUGAACCUGGGAGGCGGCGUGGAGGUUGCAGUGAGCCAGGAUCUUGCCACUGCACUCCAGCUUGGGCGACAGAGUGAGACUCUGUCUCAAAAAAAAAAAGUUUAGAAAUUAUGCUUUAGGAGUCAUGCAGCUGGAGGCUACAAGAUUCUGACCCUCCCUAAACUGCUCCUAAGAUCAGUGCUUGAGAUAUUUUGCAGACCCUGCACUUGAUGGAUCAGCUGGCACCACCCAGACUGAUUAACUGGCUCAUGUGAUCUUGUGGUCCCCACCCAGGAACUUAAUCAGCACAAGGAGACAGCUUCAACUCCCUAUGAUUUCAUCCCUGACCAAUCAGCACUCCUGGGCUCACUGGCUUCCCCCUACCCACCAAGUUGUCCUUAAAAAGUCUGCUCCCCAAAUGCUCGGGUAGACUGAUUUGGGUAAUAAUAAAACUCCGGUCUCCCACACAGCCA